rnacentral:rRNA from 1 species
UACGUAGGGUGCAAGCGUUGUCCGGAAUUAUUGGGCGUAAAGAGCUUGUAGGCGGUUUGUCGCGUCUGCUGUGAAAUUUCGGGGCUCAACCCCGAACUUGCAGUGGGUACGGGCAGACUAGAGUGUGGUAGGGGAGACUGGAAUUCCUGGUGUAGCGGUGAAAUGCGCAGAUAUCAGGAGGAACACCGAUGCGAAGGCAGGUCUCUGGGCCAUAACUGACGCUGAGAAGCGAAAAGCAUGGGGGAGCGAACAGG